GGAUGGCGAGCUACCUGCAGUCGAGCGGAACGAGUUAUCUGAACCUUCGGGGAACGAUAACGGCGUCGAGCGGCGGACGGGUGAGUAAUGCCUAGGAAAUUGCCCUGAUGUGGGGGAUAACCAUUGGAAACGAUGGCUAAUACCGCAUAAUACCUACGGGUCAAAGAGGGGGACCUUCGGGCCUCUCGCGUCAGGAUAUGCCUAGGUGGGAUUAGCUAGUUGGUGAGGUAAUGGCUCACCAAGGCGACGAUCCCUAGCUGGUCUGAGAGGAUGAUCAGCCACACUGGAACUGAGACACGGUCCAGACUCCUACGGGAGGCAGCAGUGGGGAAUAUUGCACAAUGGGCGCAAGCCUGAUGCAGCCAUGCCGCGUGUGUGAAGAAGGCCUUCGGGUUGUAAAGCACUUUCAGUCGUGAGGAAGGUAGUGUAGUUAAUAGCUGCAUUAUUUGACGUUAGCGACAGAAGAAGCACCGGCUAACUCCGUGCCAGCAGCCGCGGUAAUACGGAGGGUGCGAGCGUUAAUCGGAAUUACUGGGCGUAAAGCGCAUGCAGGUGGUUUGUUAAGUCAGAUGUGAAAGCCCGGGGCUCAACCUCGGAAUAGCAUUUGAAACUGGCAGACUAGAGUACUGUAGAGGGGGGUAGAAUUUCAGGUGUAGCGGUGAAAUGCGUAGAGAUCUGAAGGAAUACCGGUGGCGAAGGCGGCCCCCUGGACAGAUACUGACACUCAGAUGCGAAAGCGUGGGGAGCAAACAGGAUUAGAUACCCUGGUAGUCCACGCCGUAAACGAUGUCUACUUGGAGGUUGUGGCCUUGAGCCGUGGCUUUCGGAGCUAACGCGUUAAGUAGACCGCCUGGGGAGUACGGUCGCAAGAUUAAAACUCAAAUGAAUUGACGGGGGCC
rnacentral:rRNA from 1 species